AAUCUUCCGCAAUGGGCGAAAGCCUGACGUAGCAAUGCCGCGUGAGGGAAGAAGGCCUUCGGGUUGUAAAACUCUGUCCUUAGGGAAGAACGAUCUAUAUGUGAAUAAUGUAUAGACGUGACGGUACCUAUGGAGGAAGCCACGGCGAACUACGUGCCAGCAGCCGCGGUAAUACGUAGGGGGCGAGCGUUGUGCGGAAUCAAUGGGCGUAAAGCGAGCGUAGGCGGACUUUUAAGUCAGAUGUGAAAACUUUGGGCUCAACCUGGAGAUUGCAUCUGAAACUGGGAGUCUUGAGUGUAGAAGAGGAGAGUGGAAUUCCUAGUGUAGCGGUGAAAUGCGUAGAUAUUAGGAGGAACACCAGUGGCGAAGGCGACUCUCUGGUCUAUAACUGACGCUGAGGUGCGAAAGCGUGGGGAGCAAAC
rnacentral:rRNA from 1 species